ensembl:rRNA 5S_rRNA 5S ribosomal RNA
GCUUACGGCCAUACCACCCUGAGAACGUCUGAUCUCGUCUGAUCUUGGAAGCUAAGCAGGGUCGGGCCUGGUUAGUACUUGGAUGGGAGACCGCCUGGGAAUACCAGGUGCUGUAAGCU